rnacentral:misc_RNA from 1 species
CGGUUAUUCAUACAACCGCUUCAGCGGUCCUGUGAGCGGGAAUAUAAUUGAAGUCCAGGUUCCCGCAGCUCGAGGAAUUCCCGCUCAACAGCACGCUGAUUAUGGUUAUGACCAUCAUGCCGGAAAAAUCGACCCGGAAACUGCUAAAUAUGAACGUUUGAAAACCGUCGAUUACAAAGCUAAGCCCGAUUAUCACUACGCUUACGGAGUUCAAGAUCCUCACAGUGGAAACCAACAAGAUCACAAGGAGUACCGCGAUGGAGACGUAGUGCACGGCGAAUACUCACUUGUGGAACCUGAUGGUUCUAUUCGUCUUGUACGAUACACCGCUGACCCGAAGAAUGGUUUUCAGGCUGUGGUACAUAAGAAACCUGGAGGCCAACCUAACGCACCAGUGCAUUACAAUAAAAAGCAACAUCGUGAAGAAGAUUCCGAAGAAUAUUAGUUAAACAUUAGUUUUUAUCGACUGCUUAGUAGAUAAUAUUUUUUUCAAUUUAGUAGUAAGUAGUUGUUGUUUAAAUAUUUAUUACGCUGUGAAUGUUAGCUAAAUAAAGACUAGAAAACAA